rnacentral:misc_RNA from 1 species
GUGAAUCAUCAAAUCUUUGAACGCAAAUUGCACUCUCUUCUGAGACUAUGCCUGUUUGAGUGUCAGCCUAAAAAAACUCCACAUAGUCGCUGUUUCGCGCUGACAUUCUUCGCAAAUUGUGUCAUCUUAAACCUUUUCGUUUUAAGCGACUUAAAAUUUUCUUUACGAUUCUACGAACGUUUCUAAGAUCUACUUACACGUCUAAGGUAUCGAUCUUUAUUAGACGUGUCCGCUGCAUCUCAUCGCGUCCAUAAAGAUCUCGUUAUCGGACCUCAUA